rfam:Chlorocebus sabaeus isolate 1994-021 chromosome 20, whole genome shotgun sequence.
GCUGGGUGCAGUGAUGCCCACCUGUAGUCCCAGCUACUCAGGAGGAUCGCUUGAGCCCUGGAGUUCUGGGCUGUAGUAUGCUAUACCCAUUGGGUUCUGCACCAAGUUUGGCAUCAAUGUGGUGAUCUCCUGGGAGUGGGGACCACCAGGUGGCCUAAGGGGGGUGAACUGUCCCAGGUCAGAAACGGAGCAGGUCAAAAUUUCCAUGCUGAUAAGUAGUAGGAUCACACCUGUGAAUAGCCACUGUACUUCAACCCAAGAGGCGGAGGUUACAGUGAGUU